rnacentral:tRNA from 1 species
UCCCCUGUAGCUCAAUUGGCAGAGCGUCCGGCUGUUAACCGGAAGGUUCUAGGUUCGAUUCCUAGCGGGGGAG